AUGGUUCACUACUCUCUUGACCCAGAAAACCCCACAAAAUAAUACAAAUAAGGAAGUUCAAACCUUCGUGUUUACUUUAAGAUCACCUAGGAAACUGCCAGGCCAUCAAGGGUACACAUAUCCCAAAGCCACCAAGUAUCUGAAGGAUGUCACUUUAAAGAAGCAAUGUGUGCCAUUCUGGAGGUAUAAUGAUGGAGUGGGUUGGUGUGUCCAGGCCAAACAAUGGGGCUGGACACAGGGACAGUCCCAAAAAUGAGUGUUGAAUUUUUGCUGCACAUGCUUCAAACUGCAGAGAGUAAUGCUUAACUUAAGGGUUUAGUUGUAGAUUUUCUAGUCACUGAGCACGCCCAGGUAAACAAGGCAGUUAAGGUGUGCUGUCGAACCUACAGAGCUCAUGGCCUGACUAACCCAUAUAUGAGCUCCCCCUGCCACAUUGAAUGAUCCUCAUUGUUAAGGAACAGAUUGUUCCACAGCCAGAAGAGGAGACUACACAGAAGAAAAAGAAAUCCCAGAAGAAACUGUAG
rnacentral:lncRNA from 1 species